rnacentral:lncRNA from 1 species
UUGUUCUUUCACUCACUCACUCACUCAUUCAUUCAAGAACUAUUUCUUGAGGACUCACUAUGUGCUCAGCAUUGGACAAUGAUGACUCUCAGUAUGUCAUGGGUUGCCAGUGAGCAGGACCCUGAACAGCGACCAGGGGCCUCUCUGCUGACAAUGGCCAGAAGUUUCUAGACACAAAGGGCCCCACAGCUCUUGGUGAACCCCAGAUAUCACUGGGCUCUGCUGAUCAUGGAAAAUCUUCGCAGCUCAUGCACAGGACGCACAUUUGUCAAUUAGCCGAAAUUGAAGUGCAUCUUAUAAUAAACGUGGAAAGAAACUUGUCAGCUAAUGAUACAUCUUACAACAGGGCGAAUUGGAAUGGAGGGAAAAACAGUAGUUGAAGAUCAUCCCUGUGGCUCCCAAGAUGAAAGUUACUGGGGUGGCCUGAACUUCCCAGUGUGGCUCGAAGAUUAACCACUUCAGAGAAUACCAGAUCAACACCGUGUUUUGCAUGCCUGCACCUUCGGAGAGGAAGCUGUUAUUUCAGAAGCCAGGCAGAACAAAGGGAGUCAUCUGGUGCGAUCCUAGUAAUUAGAGAGAAGAGGCCCCUCAGGUGACUGCUGAGAAAGCUCCCUUAAUUUGACCCUGUUUCACACAGUCCAAUUUUCAAUAAAAAGAGACACUUCA